UGCGGAUGUGGCGGAAUGGCAGACGCAUCAGACUCAAAAUCUGACGUAGGUGACUAUGUACGGGUUCAAGUCCCGUCAUCCGCAG
rnacentral:tRNA from 2 species